GCUUACAUGAUUCCGGUAUUCUUGUAAUCGCGGAUUAGAACGCCGCGGUGAAUACGUUCCCGGGCCUUGUACACACCGCCCGUCACACCACGAGAGUUUGUAACACCCAAAGUCGGUGAGGUAACCUUCGGGAGCCAGCCGCCUAAGGUGGGACAGAUAAUUGGGGUG
rnacentral:rRNA from 1 species